UUGAAACCUGUUUCUCCCAUAUCUGCAUUUCACCAUGAACCUUGGGUUUGAAUAUUUUAAGUCACUUCUAUUUUAAUGUAAAUAUUUGACUUACUGGAAAGAAUACCUGGAAUGCCUUUCCUCUCUUUCUGGCAAAGUGACAUUCUCAGUAAUGAAAUGUUUGUUCCUUUUGAAAAACCUGUGAUGUACUUUUUUUUUUUUUUUUUUCUUCUAAGAACAAAAUAAUUCAAUUUUAAGAUGAUAACUUAGUGCUGGUUUUAUAUGUUCUUUUCCCUGAUGUUAAAUUCUGUUUGUCUCUGCUCUUCAGAGAGGAAGGAAGGAGAAAACUGACUGAAGCGGUUCUUAAACAGGUUUGCAAUGCUCAGGCUCUAUGGGUUAUCUAUUCAACACAUGUCAACACAUGGCUGCUUGGGAAAGUGCUACUGAUAGCUGAAGGCAGUGUUUUACAUGGAGAAACUGAGGCAUAGAAAUGCUGCAGAUGUUAGAUGAAAUCAGGGAGAGAUCCAGGACCUGAAGUAGAAGGGCAGUCUAGGUCUUUCAGCACAUGCCAGGAAAGCAAAGGAAGUGUGGUCCAACAAAAGGAAAAGAAAAAAUGCUUUCUACCAGAGAUGGAGCAUUUGUCAUACUGGCUUUUUUAUAUGCUGGAAACCUGAGAAGCAGCAGCACUGGUGGUCGAUCCCUCCUCUGACUUUCCUUAUGAGGCAGUCUGAAGAUGAUCAGUCAAGAAGCUGAACCAACAUUUCUAACCUACAUUGCAAAACUCAUCAGUGUGCAGGAGGCUAUCCUUUCAUGAUAACACUCUCACUGCCAUCUUUUGAACUUUGGGGUUUUUUUUACUUCAUAUGGAAUGAAUAAAGUUCCUUGUCUUCAGAAAAGAGAGCCCACAUGCCUCCUGCAGAUGCAGUGUGCAGGCUUCUGCAUUGCUCUAGCUCUGAUUCUCCAUUUUAUCCAAUGAAAUUUUAAAUAAGCUUUAGCAAAAGAGUUUGAGAGAACUUCACACGAGCAUAUCUCACUGGCUGGGAUGCACUCCUGGGAUAUGAGUGUUGGGAGGAGGACAUUUGAACUUGAGCUCUCUGUAGAUCAACCCCCAGAAUACCAUUGGGUGAAGUUAUUUGCAAAUAAGGAUUUGUUUAGAUUUUUCCUAGAAAAGAGAGACUCCUAAAAUCCUUUGAAGAAACACUCAGAAGAGCCUGUGCCCUUAGAGCCAACUCUCCCCAGUGCUCAGGCAUGAAGCCACACGCAGGCAAGGUCCCUCUCCUCUGCAAGAAGCAGCAUUUGUUCCUUCCACCAUCCCUCUCUUGCCUGUUCCUUUGUCACCUCUUUUUGGCCUAAUAUAGUCAAAACCCUGUAUCUUACAAAUGCUUGUCUUACAAGGCAUUCCAUAUAAAGGUCUAUUCGAGUCUAAUAGCCUUGCUUUAUCCCCUCUAGCAUAUAUAUUUCCUAAUUGUUUGGAUAAGCAACAGUCUUCAAACUCUAUGUAGCUCCUAAUCUACUCAUAGUUUGGUCUAUAGCUUGGGCUCCUAGGUGCUGUUAAAGAUACAUAUCUAGAAAAUUUAUUCUGCUCAUGUCUCUGGUAUCAUUACAUCAUUAUAUUCAGUUCUUUUCCUGGGGAGAGCUGCAAUAGACCGGUGCUACGUUAAAUCAGCCUCUGAUAGAAGGAGCUGUUCCCAUUUUUCCUUGAGCUGCACAGCAUUUUUCCUUUACAAUAUUGAUUUAAUAAUUUAUAAAUGUUUGA